AACCUUAUUCAUCAAGAAUAGGCAAAAAGUGGGAAUUCAGUAUACUCAAAUGAAUGAACAUUACAUCCUCGUUUUCAUACAAGUCGUCGAUUAAUUUUUGAAUAUCUUCUCUGACAGAAUCUUUUGCAGGUACAUCGAUAGCCGUUUCUUCCAGAGGAAUAUGGAUUAAACGAGAAUCUUUGAUUUCAUAGUUUUUAGAUCGAAAAUGAUGAGCCACCUGGUUUAAACUAGAGGGCUCGGUUAAAAUCAAAAAUUCACCUUCAUCUUCUUCGUCUAUGUACUCUUUGGGCCUAUUGACUAUGUCCUCUGCGCCAGCUUCAAUAGCAUCGUCGAGAACAUCUUCAAAUUUCAUAGAAUCUCGUUUUUCUGGAGGAAGAUUUACUUCCACCUUACCCUUUUUGCUAAACAAAAAUUUGACAGUCGAUAAAGAAGCCCCAUGAUUUCGUAAAAUAUGUUUGAUUGAAGAAGCAGCUCGAGCUCGAUUGUCUGUAACCGCUUCAACUAUAAGACCGACUCCUGAUGGAUGCAUUGCUUCAUACUCAAUAAAAUGAACUUGCGAACCUUCACUUCCAGCCGUACCCAAUCCUCGAUUAAUUGCAUUUUCAAUACCAGAUUUCGGCAUGGAUAUUUUCUUGGCACUCUCUAGUAGUGUCGCCAGCCGCAUAUUCAAUUCAGGAUUGGCACCUUCUUGUCGAACUGCUAGAAUGAUUCCCUGUGAAAGUCUGGAUACACAGUAAUAUUAGUAACUGUUAUUAGAUAGUAGUGUGAAACAAGACGAGCCCUUACUUUCCAAUUUGUAAACUUCUUGCCUGGUCAUUCGCCGAUUUUUUGUGCUUAAUUUUUGACCACUCUAUAAAGGUUAAUAUGCGUAUAUAAAACUGGUAACAUUAUAGUGUCUAUGGAUCUUAUAAAUUCACUGUUGUUGACAGUAACCCAGUUUGCAAGAAAACCUGAACAUUCACUUAAUUGUAUGUUCGAGCAAUUAACUGAACACUUUAUAAAAGUGGAUAUGAAUACAGUUCAAAUUUUAUCACUUUCAAUUCUUCUGUCUUAUGUGAAAGAUCCCAGUAAUUCAGCAAAGAAUCAUAGUCAACAUUGAGUAGCCUACAUUCUUUACUACAAUGGGUCUCGUUUUUUACUUUUGUUUUAUCUUGAAAAUUCAUAGAAGCAAAAACACUAUAACUAGCUUAUAAAUCAAUAACUUACUGUUAUGCCCAGACAUAAUCCAUCCUGAAGUCGUGAAUGAUCGGAACCUUGAAAAAUGAUACAGCGCUCUUGUGAAAGGUAUUUUAUUUAAAGCAUUCAUUAUCCUUGUAUGCUACGAAGUGACCACUGACCACAAUUAGGAUAAAACAAGGAAAACUGAUAUGAGAGGAGAGGGAGUUGAAGUAGGGAAUACUAGCACUCGAAUCAGCAUCUCUAUAAAGAAAACAGUAUUUCUGCUUU